rnacentral:rRNA from 1 species
UACAGAGGGUGCGAGCGUUAAUCGGAAUUACUGGGCGUAAAGCGUGCGUAGACGGUUAUGUAAGUCGGGUGUGAAAGCCCCGGGCUCAACCUGGGAAUUGCAUUCGAGACUGCAUAGCUAGGAUGCGGAAGAGGGAAGCGGAAUUUCCGGUGUAGCGGUGAAAUGCGUAGAUAUCGGAAGGAACAUCAGUGGCGAAAGCGGCUUCCUGGUCCAGCAUCGACGUCAGGCACGAAAAGCGUGGGGGAGCAAACAGG